rnacentral:lncRNA from 1 species
GUCAGGUUGAAACAUUCUGUUCUUGAACAGAGGAAAAACACUCUUCACACAGUGCUUACGAGUUUCUGAAGUCUUUAUUGGUACUCUGCACACCUUCACACCUCCGUGAGAAGAAAACAGUAGAUUUAUAUUAGAAACUGUAUUGAAAAAUGUCUACUUCAAACACACUCAAAGGACUUUCCGGUUGUUUUAUUGCUAUGCCAGAAUACCUUCAUGUAACUGAAGUAACUUGGACUAAGCAAGAGAGAAAAACGUUAACAGGCCAGGCCUGGGUCCAACAGUGAAGAACGAGAAGAUUGUUCUUGAGGCCUAGUCAAUAUCAAUGUAAGCAUCACAAUGAAGGAAAACAUGACUACAUAAAAAAUUAACAACAAGGAGGCUGAUUUCCUUUUGAGAGGAAAAAAUUUUGAAAACCUGAAGAAUUGAGAGCAUAGAAAGAAACCCAUGUAAUCAUAUGAGGUAUCACUCUAUCGCCCAGGCUGGAAUACAGUGGUGUGAUCUCAGCUCACUGCAACCUCCACCUCCCUGGUUCAAGCUAUUAUCCUGC